GGAUUUCCACAGUUUGGAGACCAUUGCUUACAACCUGUCUCAUAACUAAAUAUCUAUCGAUUUGUGUAUGUAUACAUUGAACAUGUAUUGCAAACAUUGCUAUAGUACUAUAGUAAUACCGAAAAGGAAGUUCUUGGAAUGUAUCCAAAUCUGUUCUAUUAUUUCUAAUUUAUAUGCUACUAACUUCUUCCAAACCCCUAUCUAUAAAUUGCAUACAGGUAACCUACAACAAUGAUAGAAUAUUUAUCCGCUGCUAAAAUACAACAGUCAAUAGCUUGGGAAAGGUCAGAGCAGUAAACAAUUACACCUAAAAAUGUAACAAAGGCCAAACAGGGAGAAAGAACUCAAAGUUCCGAGAACUCUGGCUGAUUUGUGUACAGAACAGGCAGAAAAUAUUUGGCAGGCUACAGAGGAUAUCCACGUAAUAGCGCUUAGAGGAAGCUCAUACUCCACUUCAAGAACCACUCUUUCGCCAACAUUCUUCAGUAGGCUGAUGAUCUCAUCAUGACGAAAUUUCGUAAGGUUGAUGCCAUUCACGCAUUUGAUGUAGUCCCCCACAUUCAGUUGGUCACUU